UGGCGGACGGGUGAGUAAUGCUUGGGAAUCUGGCUUAUGGAGGGGGAUAACUACGGGAAACUGUAGCUAAUACCGCGUAGAAUCGAGAGAUGAAAGUGUGGGACCGCAAGGCCACAUGCCAUAAGAUGAGCCCAAGUGGGAUUAGGUAGUUGGUGGGGUAAAGGCCUACCAAGCCGACGAUCUCUAGCUGGUCUGAGAGGAUGACCAGCCACACUGGAACUGAGACACGGUCCAGACUCCUACGGGAGGCAGCAGUGGGGAAUAUUGCGCAAUGGGGGGAACCCUGACGCAGCCAUGCCGCGUGAAUGAAGAAGGCCUUCGGGUUGUAAAGUUCUUUCGGUGAUGAGGAAGGGUGGUGUUUUAAUAGAGCACUACAUUGACGUUAGUCACAGAAGAAGCACCGGCUAACUCCGUGCCAGCAGCCGCGGUAAUACGGAGGGUGCGAGCGUUAAUCGGAAUAACUGGGCGUAAAGGGCACGCAGGCGGUGACUUAAGUGAGAUGUGAAAUCCCCGAGCUUAACUUGGGAACUGCAUUUCAGACUGGGUUGCUAGAGUAUUUUAGGGAGGGGUAGAAUUCCACGUGUAGCGGUGAAAUGCGUAGAGAUGUGGA
rnacentral:rRNA from 1 species